UACAGAGGUCUCGAGCGUUGUUCGGAUUCAUUGGGCGUAAAGGGUGCGUAGGUGGCGCGGUAAGUCGGAUGUGAAAUCCCGGGGCUCAACCUCGGAACUGCAUUCGAUACUGCCGUGCUUGAGUACUGGAGAGGAGAUCGGAAUUUACGGUGUAGCAGUGAAAUGCGUAGAUAUCGUAAGGAAGACCAGUGGCGAAGGCGGAUCUCUGGACAGUUACUGACACUGAGGCACGAAGGCCAGGGGAGCAAACGGG
rnacentral:rRNA from 1 species